rnacentral:lncRNA from 1 species
CGCUGGAAUGGGACGACAUCUAAUGCAUCGACGAUGGUCAGAUCAGGUAACGUUCAAUGCAUCAGUGGUAGUCAGAUCUGUAAGAAAAGCCUCUAUCGGAGUUGGCUCAGACGGAGACCCUCCGACACUCAAGUCAAAUUUUUUACAACAGAUGAAAAAGAGCGAGCAUUUAUGAGAAAGAGAGGAGGUAUACCUUUUUUGGGGUCCUCAGAUUAUCUUUUAUAGAUGAAGUUGGAGCCUUUGAGGAGAAGAGAAAGGUCGUAAAACACCCUUUUUGCCCUUAAUUAUAUCUCUGAGCAGCACCGUGCCUGAUCUUUUGACUUUUUUGAGUAUUGUCACUUCAUAGCAUGUGGGGGGCUGCCGUAGUUAGAGGCAAGAGUCAUCUGACAAAGUCCUAAGAGCAGCAUGGGCUUCUCAGGAUGAUAUGAUUUGAUGUGAUCUGAUGGGAUAGCAUGGCGGCCACGCUUGAGGUUCAGCUGCUCGACCGAUGCCCGUGCUCUAGGAUCCCAACUCAUAAGUGGGGAUCAUAGUCCGUGGGAGGAUGAGAGCCUGGAGUCGAGACUGGACCCAGCAUG